AUGGGAACAGUCUUUGUGGACCUUACGGCAGCCUAUGACACGGUGCAACAUAGAAAAAUGCUGCAUAAAGUCUACCAUAUCACCCGGGACUUUGACUUUACAAAAACUGUCCAGACCCUCUUAGAAAACCGCAGCUUCUAUGUGGAGUUUCAGGGCCAGAAAAGCAGAUGGAGGAGGCAAAAGAAUGGUUUACCCCAAGGCAGCGUUCUUGCACCAACCUUGUUUAAUAUCUUCACGAACGAUCAGCCACAACCACCACUCACAAAGAGCUUUAUAUAUGCUGAUGACCUUGGCCUCACAACACAAGCGAAAGAUUUUGAAACAGUUGAAAAGCAACUCACCAAUGCCUUGAAAGAUCUCUCCAGCUACUACAAAGAGAACCACCUGAAGCCUAACCCUGCCAAGACACAAGUGUGUGCUUUCCACCUACGUAACCGCGAAGCCAACAGGAAACUGAAAGUUACUUGGGAAGGCCAAGAGCUCGAACACUGUUUCCAUCCUAAAUACCUUGGUGUCACCUUAGACCGAACACUAACAUAUAGGAAACACGGCAUGAACACCAAGCACAAAGUAGCUGCACGCAACAACAUCCUGCGGAAACUGACUGGCAGCGCAUGGGGAGCAGACCCACAAGUAAUAAGAACAUCAGCCCUGGCCUUGUCUUUCUCAACUGCAGAGUACACCUGUCCUGUUUGGCACAAGUCUGCCCAUGCAAAGCAGGUGGACAUAGCACUGAAUGAAACAUGCAGAAACAUCACGGGAUGCCUUAAACCUACACCUGUUGAUAAACUCUACAAGUUAGCUGGCAUUGCCCCUCCUGACGUGCGACGGGAAGUUGCUGCUAACGGUGAGAGAAAAAAGGUCGAACAUUGUGAAAGCCACCCACUGCAUGGCUAUCAGCCUCCUCCCACCAGACUCAAAUCAAGGAAGGGCUUCAUGAGAACCACCACUCCUCUUGAUGUUCCUCCAGCAACAGCAAGGGUGUCUCUCUGGGCAGCUAAACCUGGCAAUAAUAACUGGAUGGCCCCCCAAGAGGGUCUUCCUCCAGGGGCAAACCAGGAAUGGGCAACGUGGAAGUCCCUGAACAGACUCAGAAGUGGAGUGGGCAGAUCAAAAGACAACUUGGCAAGGUGGCACUACCUGGAGGAAUCCUCCACCUUGUGUGACUGUGGAGCUGAACAAACAACUCAGCACAUGUAUGCUUGCCCACAAUGUCCUGCCUCAUGUACGGAGGAGGAGUUGUUUAAAGCUACAGACAAUGCGGUUGCUGUUGCCUGCUUUUGGUCCAAAACUAUUUAG
rnacentral:lncRNA from 1 species